rnacentral:tRNA from 1 species
ACUAUUUUGGCAGAAAAGUGUAAUGGUUUUAGAAGUCAUAAAUAUAUAAUUUAAUUAUAUAGAUAGUA